rnacentral:sRNA from 1 species
GCUGGGCGUGGUGACACACCCCUGUAAUCCCAGCAGCUUGGGAGGCCGAGGCAGGAGGAUUGUGAGUUCAAAGCCAGCCUCAGUAAUUUAGCGAGGCCCUAAGCAACUUAGCAAGACCCUGUCUCUA